UACGUAGGAUGCAAGCGUUGUCCGGAAUUAUUGGGCGUAAAGAGUUCGUAGGCGGUUUAUUAAGUCAGAGGUUAAAGACCAAGGCUCAACCUUGGGAGUGCCUUUGAUACUGGUAGGCUUGAGGAUGGCAGAGGAAAGUGGAAUUCCAAGUGUAGCGGUGAAAUGCGUAGAUAUUUGGAGGAACACCGGUGGCGAAAGCGACUUUCUGGGCCAUAACUGACGCUGAGGAACGAAAGCGUGGGGAGCAAACAGG
rnacentral:rRNA from 1 species